AUCAAGCGAUAAAAUUAAAUUAAAUUUGAAUAGUACCCCGCUUCCAGAUAAAAGAAAAAAUCAAAGAAGAAAGCAAUAAAUAAUUAAGGAAAAAAAAAGAAAAAAGAAUAGCACAAAAUUUAUGGUAAAACAAUUCAAACUAUAACCGAUAACUUUUGCAACCAAUCCAAUUCCAAUAGUUAAAUAGCAAAAGAAUUAUGUUAAAACAUUAAUCUGUGGCCUCGGCCUAAUGUCACGAGACAACAGUGUAAAGAAUAAAAUCAGUAGAAUCAUUCAUCCCAGAACCACCAGCCUUGGAGCCAAAACGUCCCAUCAAAACUGCCGAAUCAUCGGUAAUGCCGCGACCCAAAAACCCAUCAAGAGGGUGGUUGUGGGAGGACCGUUCAUGGUGGUGGUGACCACCAUCUUGACUUGCCGGAGGAUGGUAAUACAAUCUUGCAGUUUGUGGGCAGUGGGAAUGAAACCUUGCAGCUAUUCUGACACCUGCAUCCAAUAAUUCCAUGUAUUUUGCCAUUUCUUGAUUGGUUGAUUGAUUCCUUUCCUUUCUCUCUUUGAUGAUUUUAUGACAAAAUCUUCUUGGAGAAAGAGAGAGAGAGAGAGGAAAGGAAGAAUAAAAAAGAGAAAAGAGAAAUGAAAAAAAAAUGGAAUUUGUUAGAAAACGUCCCAAACCUCAGAGCCCAUAAAAUGGGAGAAUGUUAUGUGAAUGCUUGUGAGGGAAUUUAGGUC
rnacentral:lncRNA from 1 species